CACACUGCAAAUAAAUAUGAGGACAGCAACUUUUAUCAUGUUUUGUGCCACAAUCUUUGGAGCUGGACUUGCUCAUUCCCCUGGAGGAGGAUCUGAGAAAUGUCAAUGUAGGGGAAACUAAUGCAGUCUGUGAGGAUAAAACACACCCAGAAGUUACAGGGGUACCAAAAGACUGUAUUUUGUGGAAAGACAGAACUUAUAGCAGAGAAGCAACAGAAGAAGCCAAAAGGAGGUCAGGGAAGAAGAAACAAAAUAAUUAACAUCCUUGAGUUUCGCUGAGUUGGUACAAAAAUAGAAAAUAGACUAGUCUGUUUUACUUUAUUUACCUGUUUCUAUGUUGUGUUUAGCCUCACUUCAGAAUAGAUUUUAGCACACUUGCGCUGAGGUAAUAGAUUUGUUACAAAUGUGAUUUGAAGCAAGCUGCCUUCAUAAAGGUUCACCCAUAUCACAAUCUGCUGUGUACUUGCAUUAAUAAUGUAGAUAGAAAAGUCGUAAAAUCUAUUAUUUUAAAUCCCAAAAAUGAUUUUGUAAGUAUUUUUUAACUUUCUUGUGUAUAUGCACAGAGGGUGUUUGUUUGUUAUCAGUUGUUGAGAAGUUUUUUUUAUAUAUUUGUUUUCUGAAUAAAAUAAUUUGAAGUCAAAUUCA